rnacentral:rRNA from 1 species
UACGUAGGGCGCAAGCGUUAUCCGGAAUUAUUGGGCGUAAAGAGCUCGUAGGCGGCUUGUCGCGUCGACCGUGAAAACUUGGGGCUCAACCCCAAGCCUGCGGUCGAUACGGGCAGGCUCGAGUUCGGUAGGGGAGACUGGAAUUCCUGGUGUAGCGGUGAAAUGCGCAGAUAUCAGGAGGAACACCGAUGGCGAAGGCAGGUCUCUGGGCCGAUACUGACGUGAGGAGCGAAAGCGUGGGGAGCGAACAGG